ACGAACGCUGGCGGCGUGCUUAACCCAUGCCAGUCGAACGGAAAGGCCCUGCUUUUGUGGGGUGCUCGAGUGGCGAACGGGUGAGUAACACGUGAGUAACCUGCCCUUGACUUUGGGAUAACUUCAGGAAACUGGGGCUAAUACCGGAUAGGAGCUCCUGCUGCAUGGUGGGGGUUGGAAAGUUUCGGCGGUUGGGGAUGGACUCGCGGCUUAUCAGCUUGUUGGUGGGGUAGUGGCUUACCAAGGCUUUGACGGGUAGCCGGCCUGAGAGGGUGACCGGCCACAUUGGGACUGAGAUACGGCCCAGACUCCUACGGGAGGCAGCAGUGGGGAAUAUCGCACAAUGGGCGGAAGCCUGAUGCAGCAACGCCGCGUGCGGGAUGACGGCCUUCGGGUUGUAAACCGCUUUCGCCUGUGACGAAGCGUGAGUGACGGUAAUGGGUAAAGAAGCACCGGCUAACUACGUG
rnacentral:rRNA from 1 species